UGUGUAAGCAGAUCGUAGAAUAUUCGAGUAAAGUUAGACAGUUAGAAAGAGUAAUAAGUGCGCAAACAAGGAAAAACAUUAAGCGUGCAAAAACAUCGAACACAAUUCGCCACCGAGGAUCGCCUUGACAGCACAACGCGUGCUACAAUUUUCUUGCGCCGCAACCACAACACACAAUCGUCGCGACUCGCUCACACCAGCAGGGGGAAAAGGACAACACUUCCGUCGCUGCAGAAAAAGCCAGCUGCCAUCAGAAACCAUCGCAAAUCCAUCUGGUGCGGAUCGUUCCGUACGCUGCGCGGAAAAAACCACGUGCAAGUGCGUCGCGCGUGUGUGCAGUUGCCGUAUCGGGGGAAAUUGGUGCGGCCAACGCCACAGAAGAGCUCGCCAGCCGAAGGAGGAACCGGGCUGGAUUGUUCGCCUUGUAGCCGCACGGAACAGCCACGAAACGUCCGCGGAUCACCUGAUAGGCUGAGACAGCGUCGGCGGCUCGAGCGCAUCCUCGCAAGCGUGCAGGCACACCCACACGUGGGACGGUCGUGCCAGAGAAUCGGAACAAGGACCAAGGGCACCGGAAACGUCCAAGCACACCGCUGGAAGCGGUAACCACCCCGUCCAGAGACCACCAGGACGCCGAAGGAACGCCGGUGAGUUGCUAAGGGCAAAAAAGGAGUUUCGUUGCAUUAAUCCGAUCCAUUAUUGUGCCAGAUUUGCUGCCAAAUCACCAUUCGAACACCGGUGAAAGAGAACCGUGUGAAGACCCACGAGGAUCGUCCAGAACCGAAGGCCAGUUCAGCAACGAUCGCCAGGCCCAGUCUCGCCGAAGAUCAAGAGAGCGGAGAAAGAAGGCCGCGGAAAACAAAAGGGAUUGCUUGCGAGCGUGAGUCAGCAACAAAAACCGGGUCGAUGAGGCAGCUAAUGGGUGAACCUUUCUCAUCCCAUGUAGGAUCCCUUUUUCUGCGGAGGCUUAGAACGGCCCUAAUCUGCGCGGUACCGGAGCAGCAACACGGGCGAAGCUCGCACGAGACGGCCGGGACGUCACCGCGAGAGUUUUCGCGAGCGAUCGGAUUCGUUUGGCGGAUCAAC